rnacentral:rRNA from 1 species
GUCUUUUUGAUUAUAAUUUAAAGUCUAACCUGCCCAAUGAGGAUUUGAAUGGCCGCGGUAAUUUGACCGUGCAAAGGUAGCAUAAUAAUUAGUUUUUUAAUUGAAAGCUGGAAUGAAUGGUUGGACGAGAAAAUAACUGUCUCAAUUUAAAUGAAUAUAGAAUUUUAUUUAUAAGUAAAAAAGCUUAUAUAGUUUUAAAAGACGAGAAGACCCUAUAGAGUUUUAUAUUUUAUUAUAUUAAUUAAUUUUAGUAUAUUUAUAUUUUUAAUAUAGUAACAUAUUUUGCUGGGGCAGCAGAAAAAUUAAGUAAACUUUUUUUUAUUAGUAUAACAUUGAUUUAUGAUUUAAUGAUCCAUUUUUUAUGAUUACAAGAUUAAAUUACCUUAGGGAUAACAGCGUAAUUUUUUUUUAGAGUUCUUAUCGAAAAAAGAGUUUGCGACCUCGAUGUUGGAUUAAAAUUAACUUUUGGUGUAGGGGCUAAAAGGUUAGGUCUGUUCGACCUUUAAAAUUUUACA